AACGCACAUUGCGCCCCUUGGUAUUCCAUGGGGCAUGCCUGUUCGAGCGUCAUUUGUACCUUCAAGCUUUGCUUGGUGUUGGGUGUUUGUCCUGAGGGACUCGCCUUAAAGUAAUUGGCAGCCAGUGUUUUGGUUUUGAAGCGCAGCACAAGUCGCGAUUCAAAGCUAUACGCCAGCUUCCACAAGCCUUUUUCACUUUUGACCUCGGAUCAGGUAGGGAUACCCGCUGAACUUAA
rnacentral:misc_RNA from 1 species